rnacentral:rRNA from 1 species
AACGAACGCUGGCGGCAUGCCUAACACAUGCGAGUCGAACGAGACCUUCGUGUCUAGUGGCGCACGGGUGCGUAACGCGUGGGAACCUGCCCUUAGGUUCGGAAUAACUCCCCUUAAGGGGUGCUAAUACCGGAUAAUGUCUUCGGACCAAAGAUUUAUCGCGUUUGGGUGGGCCCGCGUUGGUUUAGCUAGUUGGUAGGGUAAAAGCCUACCAAGGCGUCGAUCCAUAGCUGGUCUGAGAGGAUGAUCAGCCACACUGGGACUAAGACACGGCCCAGACUCCUACGGGAGGGAGCAGUGGGGAAUAUUGGACAAUGGGCGAAGGCCUGAUCCAGCAAUGCCGGGUGAGUGAUGAAGGCCUUAGGGUUGUAAAGCUCUUUUACACGGGAUGAUAAUGACGGUACCGGGAGAAUAAGCACCGGCUAACUCCGUG